rnacentral:lncRNA from 1 species
GCCUUUUAAAAAUAAAAGCACUUGUCAAUUUUCUGUUUUCUUCUUAUCUCCCUCUGCUAAUGCAUUUAGGAUCCCGCUUCUGUAUCCUUUGUGAAGUGUCCUUUCUCCCAGUCAUGAGCACAGUGAGUUCCUGGCCGUGGGGUGCUCUGUGGGCCUACUGUGUGCUUUUCACCAUUGUGGAGUGGCUGCGGUUUUGUUCCUGUGGAGAUGUAGCCAACGGGACCCAUCCCCCCAUCUUGGUUUUCGGAGGCUUCACUCACUGUCGGCAUGGCUCUAAACGGAAACUUAUGUGGUGAAGAUCACAGCCAAUCUUCUGUUAACCAGCGCUCUACUUACAUGCAGUACCUGAAGCAACCAGAAGAGGGCAUCGGAUCACCAGAGAACUGAAAUCAGUCGUUGAAACGGAGCAGGGUUGAAGGUCCCUCCCUCAUAGCCUCAGACUCCAACUGUUUCGUCUGCUGCCACUCAUCUUAAGGGGAAAUGUUGUAAUUGCUUCUCCUUAGAUGGCCUUGCCAUGUCAAGGGAGGACACAUCACUGUUGCCCUCUGCCGAGACACAGCAGGGUCCUGUUCUAAGUUCCUCCAUGUGGGGUGAAACAGCAACUAUUUGGGGGAGUAUUUUGCCCUGGGUGACUCCAUUUACACAACAAGCAUAAUUUAGUUCCAUUUUGAUCAAGAAUACAGAGACAGGAGACUGUAUCAAUGUGCAUGCAGACACCACCCUGUCCAGCACCAGCCAGGAGACACAGACAGAUAAUAACUUGUUCCCAAAAAUUAAAAACAUACUUACAGAUCAAUGUGUGAAUGUUUAAACCCAAAUGGGAAACUGACCAAACACACCAAAAUAACAGAGGCCAUGGCAUUUUCUUCUGGGCUCCAUAAGAAGAACACCCAAUACUGAAAUAUCAGUGGUCCUGCAAACCUGUUCUUCAGCUACCUAGUGUGUGCGUGUCAAAGGACCAAUAGACAGGGAGUGCCCAACCAUCUCAGGGGCUUUGGCUCAGCACGAGGAAUGGCUCCCCGAUGUCUGAUAAGGCCCAAUCCGACAACCAUCUGUACACCCAUCCAUCUAUCCCUUUAUCCACCAGUCUGAACCUCACUUCCAUGCCUCUGCAGUUAGGAUGAACACCACCCUGUGGUUGUGUCAGACCCAGCAACUUGGGACUGCCAGGUCAUCUCUGCCUCUCUCCCAACAGUUCUUUGGGAACUGUUGCAUGCCUGUUAUCCUCCUGCAGCGACGUGGCACCUCUGUCAGCUGUCCUCCUCUGCCUCCAGUAAGGCCUCUUUACACUCUGUCUGCUGGUGCCUCUUUAGCCCUGUUCAUAGCCAUUCUGUAACAUAUAUGUACAUGUAGCAUGUAUUGUGUAUAGAGAGCACACAUGCAAUGUAUCUAUUAAUGCAUACAUGCACAUACACAUAUUCAACUGUGUAGCAUGUACUGUGAGUUCUGAGUUAGGACUAACAACUAGGAUGGUAAUGAAAGAAGCUGUGGUUACCAACAGCCGUGCUUUCUAGGGAAAUUGGAACUACUCGGUCAACUGCAGUCAGUGAAACAGACAGGACCUGUGGAUCUGUAGCCAUUCAAUAAACUCAGGCAUUAUGGAAGACA